rnacentral:ncRNA from 1 species
GUAUUGUGGGGACCACCUCGAUCCGAGGUGUUUGGCACUAGCCAGCCUUGGCGGCAUCAUCGCGAGACCUAGACCCCUUCGCGCCUGAUAAGCCUGCCGCCAUAGCCAGUGAAGCCGUUUUUUUGC